rnacentral:rRNA from 1 species
GACGAGAGGGGCGAGCGUUAUCCGGAAUAAUUGGGCGUAAAGGGUCCGUAGGUUGUAUUUUGUUUGCUUUUAGUAAAAAACAAAAAUUUAAUUUUUGACAUGCUUAAAGUACAGAUAUACUUGAGUAUAGCAGAGGAUAAUAGAAUUCCAUGUGGAGGGGUGGAAUCCUAAGAUAUAUGGAGGAAUGCCAGUAGCGAAAGCGAUUAUCUGGGCUAUUACUGACACUGAGGGACGAAAGCGUAGGUAGCAAACAGG